rnacentral:rRNA from 1 species
GACGAACGCUGGCGGCGUGCUUAACACAUGCAAGUCGAACGGAAAGGCCCUGCUUUUGUGGGGUGCUCGAGUGGCGAACGGGUGAGUAACACGUGAGUAACCUGCCCUUGACUUUGGGAUAACUUCAGGAAACUGGGGCUAAUACCGGAUAGGAGCUCCUGCUGCAUGGUGGGGGUUGGAAAGUUUCGGCGGUUGGGGAUGGACUCGCGGCUUAUCAGCUUGUUGGUGGGGUAGUGGCUUACCAAGGCUGUGACGGGUAGCCGGCUGAGAGGGUGACCGGCCACAUUGGGACUGAGAUACGGCCCAGACUCCUACGGGAGGCAGCAGUGGGGAAUAUUGCACAAUGGGCGGAAGCCUGAUGCAGCAACGCCGCGUGCGGGAUGACGGCCUUCGGGUUGUAAACCGCUUUCGCCUGUGACGAAGCGUGAGUGACGGUAAUGGGUAAAGAAGCACCGGCUAACUACGUG